CCCUUAGAUGUCCGGGGCCGCACGCGCGCUACACUGAAGGAAUCAGCGUGGCUUUCUCCCUGACCCGAAAGGGUUGGGAAACCCGUUGAAUCUCCUUCGUGAUAGGGAUUGGGGCUUGAAAUUGUUCCCCAUGAACGAGGAAUUCCCAGUAAGCGCGAGUCAUAAGCUCGCGUUGAUUACGUCCCUGCCCUUUGUACACACCGCCCGUCGCUACUACCGAUUGAACGGUUUAGGGAGGGCCUCGGAUUGGUCUCGGCCCGCUCUUUACCGGGCGGCGCCGUUGGUCGAGAAGACGCUCGAACUUGAUCGUUUAGAGGAAGUAAAAGUCGUAACA
rnacentral:rRNA from 1 species